CAGUGAGAUACCGGCAUAAUUUCCAGAUAUUUUAGAUGCAUCUUUUGAUUACUAGGUACUAUAAUAUGGUUCUGUUACACUAGUAGAAAAUAAUAAUAGCAGAAUUCAUAGUUUCAAUGGGUGGUUUCUCAAGUCUCGUUUGGAAUUCCUAUUGCCUCUUUCUUCACAUCAGUUCUCCAAGAACGAUCAGCGUGCAGAUUUGCAGGUGAUUUCUACUUCUCAGUCGGCUGAAGGAGCUGAAUUUGAGAUCUAGUGGAGAUGAAGGACUGAGGAGCCAAAGGUAGAUUGGAAGCUAGAGCUUUGGCUUGGUAUCAAGCAUGCAUUUGGAACAUUAAAUAGCUUGUAACCUUUUCACAUUGUUCAUUUACUUAUAACCAUUAGUUUGUUUCUUGGAUGGUGAUUUAUAGUCAGAUCAGCUGGAAUUUAAAAUUAA